CGAAAUAACCGAUCGAAAGCGCAGACAAAUUAUUCGACAUACUCUCCAUAAGCCAUCGCUGAAGGAAACAUGUUCUCUCGAUGAGGAAGUACCAUCUACUAGUGAUGGAGCUGAGCAUGUUGAAGUAUGCACUGGGGAAGCAAACGAUUCGCCAUUUGAAGAAGAACUACAUGCAGUUGGUGAAGAUAUUUGUGAAUCCCAGUCUCCAUGUAAAUCGUGCCAUCGUCUUAAGAAAAACUUACAUCUUUACAAAAGACUUUAAGCUGUGGAACAGCAAAGACAGCAGUUACAAGACCUAACAGAUGAUGCAGAUCAAAUAUUAAAUAGCUCUGGGAAUAAAAGUACUGCAAA